UACGGGGGGGGCAAGCGUUGUUCGGAAUUACUGGGCGUAAAGGGCUCGUAGGCGGCCAACUAAGUCAGACGUGAAAUCCCUCGGCUUAACCGGGGAACUGCGUCUGAUACUGGAUGGCUUGAGUUUGGGAGAGGGAUGCGGAAUUCCAGGUGUAGCGGUGAAAUGCGUAGAUAUCUGGAGGAACACCGGUGGCGAAGGCGGGUUGCUGGGCCGGACACUGACGCUGAGGCGCGAAAGCCAGGGGAGCGAACGGG
rnacentral:rRNA from 1 species